GCUCAGCAGUCUCAUUGAAGCGAGCGGCGGCGGCCGCGCCGUGGUAAACAAGUGCCGGGCUGUCAAUCAAGAACUAGACCGGAGCAGGAGAGGACCGGCCUAAACCGGCGCGAGCAGAUCCCAGCCGGCCUGCCCGCGCGCCGCCGCCGCCGCCGCUGCCGCCCGCGCGCCCCGCUAUACAUACGGCAUACGUCGCGCGGCGCUCGCGCCCGUGCCCGCGCAACCUAGCCUGCUGGCCGGGGGGCGGGGCGAGCGAGCCGCGGCGCUUCCGCUUUACACGCCCCAGCCGGCGACCGGUUCCAUCUGGCUCGGGCCACUCUGACACCUUUAGUUUCGGCAAGGGAUAUUGGGGUGGCGAAGGGGAGGCGGGGGCCCGAAGGCUUCGGAAAACGAUGGGGGAGGGGGCAGAGGAUACCCGUCGAAGCCCCCCCCUCCCCCAACAUUUCGAUAUUGGAAUCACUUUCCUUCUUCCUCGGGCCAGCCUUUGCUCUGUCCCCUCAGGUCAACUCAAGGUAGACAGUGUGGCGACUGGAGAGGUCGGGGAACAAGCUUUGUUUCAGCUAAGGGGAAAACAAGCGUUCACAGGAGUCCCCUGACACCUCCCACUCGGAAGAUAGCUAACGGGGGUCCUGCCAACCCUUCCCAUCCAACUUCCAUCUGAAAAGGAUUUUCUGCUAAAGUUGGGUCCAUGGCCAUCCAGCACCUGUAAGGCCGGCAGGAGCGUCUGCCCUCUACUCAGUUAAAGCCUGAAGUCGUUUCCUUUCGAUGGCCCUUAGGAGGCCCAAAAGAGGGGCGACAGAACAUGAUGUUGACACGGGCUGGGCGCCCCCAGAAGCCCGGGAACAAACGUUUCUACUUUCCAGGUCCACUGGUGUUUGGUGUACCCAUGUGACUAAUUUGUCCAAAGAGAGAUUUCUGUGAAUAGACCAGAAGCCGACCUUUACAGUGUGUUUGGGUGCAGGUGAGGCUGAUUUGAGGCAAAUGUGCUUUACAGAUCUACAAUCUUAUACCUCACUCUGGCUGAAGCACCAGUCCCCAAGUGCAGACUUCUUGCCUGUUUCCCGUGUAACACUGUCCAACUCUGAAGGCUCCUACCCUGACCUUGGCCCUUGCUAUUUUCUUCAGUGGUUCUGAUGAUGGAAGAAUCAGAAGUGCCUGGUGUAUACUGGAAAUAGGAUUCUAGAGGAUGUCUGUGUGCCUUUCUCCCCUUUCAAACGAUAGGGAAGAUAUACUGAGUCCUGUCUUCAGCUAGGGGAUGCCCUGGCCUCCUUCCUAUCUUCAAAGCCUGCAAGAGUGGGCUGAGUCCUUCUCACUCCACCCUCUUCUUUUGUGUACCUUUUCCACUUGUAAGGACCCUUGUAAUUGCAUUGGAUUCACCUGGAUAACCCAGACUGAUCUCCCUAUUUUAAG
rnacentral:lncRNA from 1 species